rnacentral:rRNA from 1 species
GUGCCAGCAGCCGCGGUAAUACCGGCAGCCAGAGUGAUGGCCUAUCUUAUUGGGCCUAAAGCGUCCGUAGCUGGCUGCGCAAGUCCGUCGGGAAAUCCACUCGCUCAACGAGUGGGCGUCCGACGGAAACUGCACAGCUUGGGCCCGGAAGGCUCGAAGGGUACGUUCGGGGUAGGAGUGAAAUCCCAUAAUCCCGCACGGACCACCGAUGGCGAAAGCACUUCGAGAAAACGGAUCCGACAGUGAGGGACGAAAGCCAGGGUCUCCAACCGGAUUAGUAACCCUGGCAGUCC